UACAUGUAUAUACCUAGGAGCUUUGUAACAAUGCCUCUUAAAUAAUAACAAACUUUUUAAUUUAAUAUAUUUUAGACUGAAAACUGUAUUUCAAUCCCACUUUCUAAAAUUAAAAAAAAAUUAUGAUACUGAUCUAUAUAUUUUUUUUCUGUUUGAAAGAUAUCAUUGGGACCGAUGGGUAACUUUAAAAUGAGAGCUUUGUACAGAUAUUGAAACACAUGAGAUCUAAUGAUUUAGAACUAAUUAAUCUUUUGAAUUGAGCAUAUUGUCGAAAGGGAUUUUUGAAGGGCAGUACCAUUGUUCCACGAUGAAGCUUUCCUUCUUUGCCUUCUGGGCACCAUCUUUAAUUUCCAUGUCUUCAAGUCUUGAAGAAGUUGAUGUUAAUGAAAGUAUACUCUUGUCCGGUUGAAAUAAAGCCUGUUUCUGUUGUGAUUUGUUUUAGUGUAUACGUCAUUUUCAUGUCUUAACCUUCAUGUCCAUAUUAUCUGCUUUUAUAUCAUAAAAUGAAUAUGUGUUAUACUUCAGCUACUCUACAUUUCAUAAGUUGAAGCUUUCACAUAAGCUUGGUAAGAUCCAAAACACUGUCUUCAGUUAAAGCUGUAGUGUAGCCCUAUGCAAGGAUUUAUUUUUUUAAUGUAGCUUUAUUGUUCUUACACAACUAACUCCUUAUUCCCAAAAGAUCACUGCUAUAUUUGAUAAUUCUGAAAGAGUUGCAAAAUUUGGUCAUCACGAAAACAUUGGAUCAACUUCCACCUGGCUUAAAAAAAUUCCAGAAACUAAGAGGCUUUUGAAGAAGCCUGUGUUUCCACAGCCAAUGCCUGACCUCAGCUGUCCUGACCUCACAGCCUCGACCAUGGUCAUUAAUUAACCAUGAUGACUACUCAGCAAAAUCAGACUGGAGGAAUAUCUGUGCAUCACAAAGUUGGUCUCAGAGAACCUUAAGGACCAUUUCAUCUGUGGCAUAAUCUGUUUUCGUGGCCAUAGAGAAAGACAUUGAAUAUGACCAAGAUGUAACCACCCUUUGAUAUUAAAAAAAAAAAAUCAACCUUUCUAAAAUGGUAUAUGACAUUAAGAUUUGCUUUAAAAAGGAAACACCAAAUUAUGUCUAGUUUUGGGAUGCCAAGCAAAUUCCAAAUAUAUUUGUAUACAAACUUUAAGAGUUAUCAGCUCAUUAUAUAAUGCUAACUACUGAUUAAUUAUUGUUCUUGUCCGCAAAGAGUCAGACAAGACUGAGCGACUUCAC
rnacentral:lncRNA from 1 species